AGCUAUCUUAGGCCAGUCCUCUCCUAAAUCUUUCUCACACCUUUUCUUCAAAUUUGGACAAUCCCAAAUGGUUAGAGAUCGGAGAGAAGUGAGAUGUUGGAUACUCUCUGGCAAUGAAUUCAGCUCUGGACAUCCAUAAAGCCACAAAUGCUCAAGUGCCGUCAGAUGUCGCACUCCCUCUGAUAAAGAUGUGAAUUUAUCACAAUGUCUAACAACUAAUAUCCAAAGAGAAGAUAAGCCACACAGCCCAUCCAUUGGCAGACAAUUUAAUCUUCCACAAUCAGCUAUCCUUAAAUCCUCCAAGGAAUUGAGGUUACGAAGACCUUCCUCUGGCAAGCUUUCAAGUUUCCCGCAACCCCAAAUACUCAAGCUUUUAAGAGCAGAAAGGUUAUCUAAUAUCCUAUUUGACAAAGACUCCAGAUCUGACAUCCAUCUAAUUUCUAAGCUUUCAAGGAGGGAAUGAUUUUGCAAAAACCCGUCGGGAAGCUCCCUCACAUUUGGAAUGUUUCCUAUAUGAAGGGAGGUGAUUGAAGUGAAAUUCCUAACUGACAUCAGCAACGAAGUAUUCACUCCAAAGAUUUGUACUGUUUUGACAGAGGGUAUAAUUGGCAUUUCGUUCAACAGAGGGCAACCGUCUAUCUUCAAUUCUCGAAGGCGAGGAAAACGACACGCGGCCCAUUGCUCUAAUCCCUUCAUGUACUCAAAAUUCAGCGUCUCCAAAGAUGGGAAUGGAUUUUGCCCAUCUCCAUACACAUUGCUGUCAAUACUCUUCACACCAUCCAUUCCUUGUAAUUUAAGAUUCUUGAGGAACUGUAGUUUCCCCAACGGUGGAAGUUGUUCACAGUGGUCACAUGCUGAUAGCUCCAUCUCUACCAGAUUUGGUAGCGUCAUGUUCAAGUUCAUCAUCCAAUUAGGAAAUCUUGAACCUCCGUAUCCCCAUAUCUUCAACUUCUUCAGAUUUGAAUGAGGCUGAAGCCCUUCAAGGACCUCCUCGUUAUUUUCUUGAAUAACACUCUUUCUUUGUUGUGGUGCUCCAUUCCCAUGCCAAGAUAAAGUCAGUGAUAAAAGAGCUGUCUUCAACUUCAAAUUGGCACUUUUGGCAUCUUUUAAAUUCUUAACAUUCACAAGAUCUGCGAUACUCAAUUCACCAGCAAGAUUAUUCAGCCUUUCCAGCUCGCUUAUGCUACGACCAUUCUCCCCACCCACAAUGAACAGGGUAAGUUUUCGCAGGCCUAUCAAUUGCCCCAUUCCAGCAGGCAUAUCUCGAAGUGAACCACAAUCCGUGAUGUCAAGAUAGACAAGACUUUUCAUGUGCUUCAUACCUUUUGGUAAUUGGAUGAGUUCAUCGCAAUCUCUCAGAUCUAGUGUCUGUAGGUUUUGGAGAGAGGUUGUACUUUCAGGCAGUGUUCUGAUACUGGAGCCUGACACAUCUAGAUACCUUAGAUGUUUCAAAUCACAAAUUGACUUUGGCAAUUUCUCCACCAGGACAUUUCUUAAACUCAAGGCUCGAUGUUUUCGACCAGGAAUCUUUCCCCAUCCAUUCCAAUACUGUUCAUUCCUCAAAAGAAGUGAGCGAAGUGAUAGGACCUUGAGAACUUCAGAAGAUGGAGCUACUUCUUUGUUAUAAAAAGCUACAUGACGGACAGUUUUAGGAAUUUCCAACCUCCCAUCGCCUUCUGUACUCAUAUAGCAUUCUUGUACUGCAAUGGAUUGCGCAAGAUCAUGCAUAAGAUCAUGCAUUUUACAUGUUAUGUUGCCAAAUCCAUCAUCCUCGACCUCUUGCAGAAAUGACCUUCCCACUAGUUCAUUGAAUAUCUCAAUGCCCAUGACGUGCAAAUCCAUUUCUCUUCUGCAAGAAAUAAAGCCAUUUGCCAUCCACAAAGCAAUCAGCUCCUCCCUCCUCAUCACCUCAUCUUUUGGAAAUAUAGCGCAAUACGCAAAGCAUUGCUUCAAAUGUGGUGAUAGAUUAGUGUAACUCAACCUCAAAGCAGGUAAGAUCUCGUUUGCUUCUUCUCUUAGAUCCCAAAUCUCACUUUCUUUGACAGCUAUCCACUGAUCUUCACUUUCUUUUAACCGCAUUAGGUUCCCUAGUGCCUUUAUAGCUAAAGGAACACCACCACACUUCUUCACUAUUGAUACUCCAAUGGCUUCCAGGCGUGCCCUCUCCUCUUUCCUUCUCAUCCCGAAUGCAAGCUGUUGAAACAACCGCCAAGAAUCUUCUUCAGACAAUCUCCCCAUGUGCUUGACAAAAGCUGUUGCCAUUCUAAGAGCAAUCAUCUCAAUACGCGUAGUUACUAUGACAGCACUAUCUUUAGCUCCACACCUUAAUACCUCCUUCAAUUUAUUCCACCUAUCACCAUAAUCAUCCCACACAUCAUCCAAUACAAGCAAAAACUUCUUUCUAUUUAACUUCUGUUGGAGGCAUUGUUGCAAGGGAUCCAAUUCUUGAAGACCACAAGGGGAACCAUCAAUGGACUCUAUGAUGGCUCUUGUUAAUCUUCUGAGAUCGAAAUCAGUAGAUACACACACCCAGAUCCUCAAACUGAAUUGCUGUUUAACACUUUCUUCAUUGAAGACCAGUUGAACAAGUGUUGUUUUACCCAGCCCCCCCAUCCCCCAUAUCGCAUAAAUAGGGAGAUCACCUGAAGUAGUGAGCAGCAAGUUGAUUAGUUCCUCUUUCUCCUUGCCUCUUCCAUAAAUUUCUGAUUCAUUCACCGAAGACCAAGUCUGACGCUGAACAAAACCAUCUGCUUCCAUCUCCACAGCCCCCUCUGUUAGGUGGAAAUUUUGUCUCUCCUUGGCAAUGGCAUCCAGUUUUUCUCUAACAUUCAUCAAUUUAUGAGCCAUCCUUUGUCGAAAAACAAGUGGAUUAUGUUUGCUAGAAAAGAAGGAUCUUACUCGAUUUUGGAGAUCUCUUCGCUGCAGAAGCCACUUAGCUUCAAUUGCAAAGUCAUCCAGUACAUCAUCAACAACAUAAGCUGCAUCCUUGAGGUCGCUGAGCCACACCUUGAUAGGCUCACUCUUCCACUGCUUCUCCUCUGCAUCUUGCAGCACAGCUUGAAUGGUUCUGAACGUGCGCUUGAGAUUUUCAAGCUCGGUCGUUAGGCCCCCAGCAAGUCCAAGCUCUUGAAGAAUUGGGGAAUUCAAGUUGCCCAUGAUUGUACUCGCGAGAGCAGAAAGAAUUGCAUCAGCCAUGGCUUGUUUUGGAAUGGAAAAGAAGAAGUAGAAAAGGUGCAAGGAAAACUAAAAGCAGGGGAGGUGAGAAAGAAAUGGCAAGUAAAUAUUGAGAAGACAGAGCAGUAUGAGAUGAAAAAUGGAUAAGGCAAACAGCAGUCUCUGAUUAUUUUGAUUAGGCUCCACACGGUGCAGGCUUGACUUGGCUAUGCCUAUAAUAAUAUAAUAAAGCAAUUGAAGUUUCAGAGAAGGAACUUUUGUCAAUUAUUGCAUGCCUUUUCCUGUUUGAAACCUGGACCUACUGAGAAUCCUUCCUAUAUCUGUAACAGAAACGUGAUCAACGCUUUUGGCUGUGAAUUCUCAAGGGUAUUUUUCUUUUCAAUUUAUUCUCCAUUAGCUAGACACAGUGCAAAACGUUUUAGAUAAAUGUGUUUUAAUCCUCGGUUAGAGUUAAUUUAUUCUUAAUGACAGUAGAAUGACAUCAUAAUCACAACUAAUCUCAAAAACUUAUUCGAAACAAACAUUAAAAAAAAAAAGGGUGAUAGAAGAGAAUUAUUCGAACAAGCUAGGUGGUCACGAUCAUGAACUCCAGCAUUUGUCCCGACCUCGAUCCAAACCAUAAUCACACGGUUGCCCGUAUUAUGUUUUUAAUAAGGUUAUAUAUCCUUAUAUAUCCUGUCAAAUCUCCAAUUCAUGUCAUAAGACCUUGCUAACAUGUAGAAGUAAAUAAAAAAAAUCAUUAAACUCAUUUCUCAAUCAAUCCAAUAUUGAAUAAUGAAAUUGAAAAAAAAAUCAGUCAAUUUUAUAAGUCUAAAAACAACUUAAAUAACAGGUAAAAAUAUAGCUUCAUAAAAAAAAUUAAGACAAUAUUAUUUUUUAAAUAGUAAGAUGAUAAUAUAUUGGAUCUACUUAGAUUUACUUAAGACGAUAUUAUUUUUUUAAUAGUAAGAUGAUAAUAUAUUGGAUCUACUUAGAUUUACUUAAGACGAUAUUAUUUUUUUAAUAGUAAGAUGAUAAUAUAUUGGAUCUACUUAGAUUUACUUAAGACGAUAUUAUUUUUUUAAUAGUAAGAUGAUAAUAUAUUGGAUCUACUUAAAUUUACUCAAAUCUAUUUGGAUUCCCUCGAAUCAACUAAGGUUAUAUAUCCUGUCAAAUCUCCAAUUCAUGUCAUAAGACCUUGCUAACAUGUAGAAGUAAAUAAAAAAAAUCAUUAAACUCAUUUCUCAAUCAAUCCAAUAUUGAAUAAUGAAAUUGAAAAAAAAAUCAAUUAGAAAAAUAGGUCGAGUAAACCUUAGUUAACCUGUAAAAACUUAGUCACGAGACCGAGAUAACCGCAUAGAAAAAAUUUAAAAUAAAUUAUGAAGCUCAAUUCUCAAUCAAUCCAAUUUUAAAGGAUGAAAUUGAAUAAAAAAUCAAUUAAAAAAAGAGCACGAAAAAACCACUCGAGUCAAAUCGAGUUAACCUACCAAACUUGUGACUUGAGUCAUGAGGCUGGCAUAACUUCAUGUAAACAAACCGAAAUAAAUUAUAAAAUAUAAUACUUAAUCAACUCAAUAUUGAAUGAUAAAAUUGAAAAAAGAGAAAAAAAACUCGAGGCAAUCAGGCAACUCACGACCUGGGUCAUGAAACCAUGAUAACCCAUAAAAAAUAAAUGAAAACAAAUUAUGAAGUACAAUUCUCAAUUAACCCAAUGUUGAAGGAUUAAUUUGAAAAAAAAAAUCAAUUAAAGAAACAAAAAAAAUCUUGAUUCAAACUCGGUUAACUUGUCAAACUUGAAUCAUGAGACCGGGAUAACUCUAUAGAAAUAAAAAAAAAAAUUAUGAAGUCAAAUUUUUAAUUUGGAUAAUGAAAUUGAAAAAAAUCAAUUAAAAAGAACAAAGGAUCUAAAAAAAUUCGAAUCAAAUUGGCUAACCCGCAAAAUUUGCGAUCUUGGUCACGAGACCAUGAUAACCUUAUAGAAAGCAAAUAGAAAAAAUCAAAUCAAAUUCUCAAUCAACUCAAUACUGAAGGAUGAAGUUGAAUUUUUUUAAAAAAAGAACAAAAAAAAAUUGAGUAAAUUCGUGUUAACUUGUCAGAACUUAGAUCAUAAAACUAAGAUAACUUCAUAGAAAAUAAAUCAAAAUAAAUUAUGAAGUUCAAUAUUUACUAAACUCAAUAUUAAAAAAUAAAAUUAUAAAAAAAUAAAAAUAAAAUAAAAAAUCUUGAGAACCAAAUUGUAAAAGUUCAAAGCAUUUCAAUGUUCAUUGUAAUAAUGAAAUGCUAAGUUCAUUUAGUAAACCUUGAGGUUCAAAUUAUAAAAGACUAACACAUUUCACAUUUAAUUGUUUAUUGCUAUAAUAAAAUAUCAAAGUUUUUUUAAUAUAUGUUAAUAAUAAUUAUUAAAUGGAUGGAGAAACGUGGUGAAUAAGUAUAUUUUUCUAAACUAACCAAAGCUUACCACAAGAAUUUUUUCAGCAUAAUUUUUUCAGCAUAUUUUAAAUUUUAUUUUAAUCAAGAGUUUAAUUGAAAAAUUAAUGAGUUUGAGGACUUAAUUAAACUUUGAUUUAAUUAAUUAAAUAAAUUCAGGGACUUAAUUGAAAUUAAUCCAAGGGUAAAAUUAAAAGAUUGUUGGGAUCAAAUUGUUAAAUUUCCAGAGGCAGGGGUCAAAUUGAAAAUUCCCAUUUUCUACCGAAACGGCACCGUUGCUAAGGAACAGCCGUGCGUCUUCUCCAUCCCGAUUCAACAGGGGAGCUCCCGAUUCAGCAGGGGAGCUGAUAAUCUGCAACAAAUCCGAUCAUGGACCACGUCUCUUGCCCACUAUCUCGUUCGUGGAUUCCAUAACAGUCCUGCAAAGGCAGGACUGGUGGAAGGGCAAGCUUCUCUAUAAAACGGAGAAGAAAACCCAGAACCAGAGGGGGAGAAUGAACCGAAAAAUUAACCCAAAAACAGAGAAAAAAAGCAGAGAAAAUUGAACAAAAAACCGGGAAUAAAGAAGCAAGCAAAACCCAGAAAAGGCCUCAGCAACAGAGGAGGAGGGGCCGAAAAUCAGAGGAGGAAACAGAACCAGAGGGGAUUGGGACGAACAGGCCAGCAACAGAGGAGGAAGGGACGAAGAUCCAAAGAUAGAAAAAGAGGGCAUAGAACACAGCAAAAAAAGUCAAAUAUACAGGGGCAGAGCAGGAACCGAAACAGCAAAACUGGGGAAAGAACCGGCAGAUCACAGAGCCGAACAGAGACUAAAACCUGGGGAAACAGAGGGGAAGAGACAGAACCAGGAGGGGCUAAAACUGAACCCAGAAAAACAGAGUCAAGAACCAAUAAAACGCAAGCCACAAAUAGAGCAAAAAAGGAGACCCAAUUUCGAAAGGAGAAGCCAGCACUGUACACUUUUCUUCAUCACAAGGACUGAAAGGGCACUGGACUGGAGAAAAGAAGACCACGAACAAAAACAGAGAGAAGAGGUUUUUCCAGACUCAAAGCAGUAACACAGGGGAGAUAAACAAAUAGACAAAAAAAAGAAGAAGAGGAAAGAAAGCAGAGACGAACAAAGGGGAGCUGGGAAAACAGAGGAAAAAAGAAGAACGACCCAGAGUCAAAAUCCCCUGCAGCCAUUUUGAUCGUCUCCAGAAGCAGAGAGAAGGAACAAUAGAGGAAGAACUUAAGAAGGGAAUAGCACCAACCGCCCUUAACUUCGUCUUCAUCUUCAGGAGCAGCAGCCCACAGGUAUGUUUCUCUACAUCUCCUCUCGCUUUUCAGUUUUAAUUCAUGCCAUACUGUUCAUGUGAAUUUUAAUUCACUGAACACUUAGACACGCGUGAACCAGCUCACGCGUGUUAUUUGCCCAGCCGGGCUCAACCCAGCCCAUGUGGGUUGAGCUGGGCCCGCCUAAAAAUAAAAAAUAAAAAGAUAAAAAAAUAUAUAAUAAAAAUUGUGUAUGUAAAACAAAUAUAUAAAAAUAAAUUUAUUGUUUUUUUAUUUAUUCAUUGACGCCAGAGUCAGAAUAAAAAUAUCAAUUCAAAUUUAUUUUAUUGUAUUUUAUUUGGUUAUAUAAAAAAUGUGCGUGCAAAAAAAAAUAACUUAAGAUAAAAUAAAAUAAAUUUAUUCGGCAUAUUCACUGACGCCAGAGUUAGGAAUAAAAAAUACUAAUGUAAAUUUAUUUUAUUUUGUUUUUAUUUAGCUACAUAAAAAAUAAAAAUAAUGCGUAUGCGUAAAAAAUAAAUUGAUUUUUAUUUGUUUAUUCACUGACGCCAGAGUCAGGAAUAUAAAAAAUGAUGAUUUAAAUUUAUUUAUUCUGAUACUUACGUAAUAUUUACCAGCGCCAGAGUUGGAAAUAUCCGUAGUUGAAUAUUCACCGACGCCAGAGUCAGGAAUAUUAUACGCAAACAAUCAUAGUAUAAAACAACAUAAAAUGUUAGCAAUUAAUGACAAAGAUUAGCAAUGCAGCCUGUCUUAGGUAGGACGUUUAAGGGGUGAUAAUAUCUUCCCUUUUACGUAACCAGUCUCGGACCAUAGAAUCUCUGUUGACCAGUUAGGGUUCCUAGUAACCGUAAUACUAGGUGACGACUCCUUAAACAAAGAAUAUCCUCAUUAAAGAACAUGAUGCCAGAAAUCUGUUCUUUCCAAAGAUUUAAUAAAUUUUUAAGGCUGCCGCGAUGUCGGGUGCGACAAUAUCUAAAUUAGAUAACAAAUAAGUUAUACUUGAUGAGUUGUUGUCAAUGGUUAGGUUUCAGAGAAAGGCAUGACAGCUUCUCCUUUAUGGGUAUUGCUUGGAGUAUCCGGUUAACCGGAAAUAAUUUGGUUUUCAAUGAUGCACAACGAAAUAUGAAAGUCAUGCUUCUCUUUAACCCUCCACUGGCUGUCCGCAUGGUUACAAAAUUACUGUGAAGAGCAUUUCAAUUGCUGCAUUCACCAAGUUGAUUGAUUCUCAUUUUUUCCUUUGUAGUGGUAGAAGACAUCUAUAGACGAAGACAGCCAUUUCUCUCCAUGGAUGCUAUAUAUACUUCAUCCAACCAACAAAAGAGAAGUAAUAUAUUUUUCUCUGCAGAUAUAUACAGACAAGGUUCUUCUGUGCAGUGAAGCCAAUGUAUGAGAGACCUAUGACCCUGACUUUCUCUUAAAAUAUAUAUAUAUUUUAAAGUUAAUACGGGUUUUUGGAUCGGUUUAUGUAUAUUUUAAUUAAUUCUAUUUUAUAAGUUUUAAAGUAAAUAAUUAUGUGAAUUCAACUUAUAAUUAUUAAAAAAACAAAUUUAAAAUCUGAUUAAGUUAUCCUUGAUAUUUCUGAUACCCCCGACUCUUGUUUACACAAUGCCGGCGGUGACAGAUACAUCAUAUGUUUUUUUUUUACAGUAAAGAAGGCCGGUGUUCUUACUAUUAGUUUUUUUUUAUUAUUAUAAAUUAAAGAUCAUUAAUGGAAUCUGCUAGUUUUUUUUUACAGUAAAGAUGGCUCGAAUUUUUUAGAUUAUUUUUAUUCCGACAACAAUUUUUAAUGCUAGCAAAAUAUUUCAUUGAUAGUACUUUUAUAAUUCCAUUGAUAUUUUUAUUGGUAUUAGAAAUCACCAACAGAACAAAAAAAGCCAAUGAGCAACUUUCAAAAGAUGAUUUUCCAUUAGCAAUUCCAUCAAUAAUUUCUAAUAAUAACAAAAUUCUCUCUAAAUACUCUUUUAGCAUUCCUUAAUUUUCUGCUAGUGUUUAACGUAAAUAACUUCCUUUUGUUUUUCAAUUAAACAAAGUUCUCUCUAUAUUUUUUUACUUGCUUUAAAAAUUAACUUAAAAACUUAUAACAAGAGUUAUUGCACCAAUGAGAACUAAAUACCAUUAUCUUGUACAAAAAAAAAAGUAGGUUGCAGUCGAGAAAUAAUUUAUUUUCAUUUUAGUUUUGUAUUUUUGGAUAAUUUUUUUUAGGUUUUUUUGGGCUAAUAAGUUAUUAUUUUUUUAAGUUUUAAGGGUAUUUAUUAAAAAAAAAUUUAGUGAAAAUUAUGAAAAUAAAAUUUUAAAUAAAAGAACAUCCUCUCAAUUUUUAGUCAUUUUUACUAGAAUUUAGAUGUGGAAGCGACACAUCAUUUGUUUCUUAAAAAAAAUUAGAAAGAUGACAAGUUAAAAAAAAAAAAAAAAAAAAAACACCUCGAGGUGAACGGGUCUAGGCUAACAAACCCACAUGCCUAGACUUAUUUUUAAAGCUUCAAUCUUGGUAGGCCACCUAGUCCUGUGUGCCUCACAUUUUUUUUAAAAACAAUUUCAAAUACUUUUACUGUGAUUUCUUAAAUUUUAAUUAAUCAAAUAUUUAUUAGGUAUAUUAUUUUAUUAGAUUCUUAAAAUGAUUAAGUAUAUAUUUAGAUAUUAUUUUAGUUGUAAGUCGAUCAUUUUUUAUCAUGUUUUCGAAUGACAUUAUACUCUUUUAUUUUAUUUUAUUAGUAAGCAUUCUUUUUAUACACCUAUCAUAUAUUUUUUUCUUAAGCAAAAUUAAUAUGUUGCUUUUAUUGUGAGAGUGUAUUUUUUAUCAUAUAAUUAUAUAAAAUUAUAAAAAAAUAAAAUUAUUAAAUUUAAUUAGGUUCAUAACUUGGAUCGCUAGUUUAGUAUAUUAACCAUGGUUACAUAGUUUCGAUCUGAGAUAUCUUCGACUCAAUAUUAAAAGAAAAACAUUAUCUUAAAAUAUUUAUUGAAGUCAAACUAAGUUUUACGGUUGAUCGUUUGACCCACUUUUGAUUCUAUCAAAUUAUCUAGAUUAUAUCAUAUCAAUCUCCAUAUAAUUAUAUUAGAAAUUUUAGAUAAAUAAAAAAUUAGGUUGGAAAAUUUUAAAAUUGAAUCAUAUGGGCUAAAUUUAAUAAUAUUAUCAAAGAGUUCUUCGUGACAAUAUCUAAACACUACGUUAUUGUUAUAUAUUUUUUAAUAUGUUCGUGUCUAAGUUAUCAAAAUGUUUAUUUUAUAUAUAUAAUUCAAACUUCCUUUUAGGAUAAUAAUAAAGUGUUGCCUAAAAACUAAAUAUUCUGAUAAAGACUUUUUUUUUUUUAAAUGAGCGUGUCAGCUAGGCAAACAGAUUCUAAUUACAGAGAUAUUUUUUUCUUUAUUUUAAAUCAUUCAAAUUCUUUUGGAUAUGUAUUCUAAUUUCUUUUAACUUUUAUUAAAUGAAAGAUAUGCAACAAAAAGUUGAUGUUUUUUUACUGGAAUUAAAAAUAUUAAUAAAAGAAGGAAAUAUAAUAGAAAAUUAGUUUGUCUAAAAAAAAUUUGAAUUAUUAUUUUUUAUAAUUAAAAUAUUGUUAUAUAAUUAAAUAUAAAUAAUUGUAGGGUUCUUUGUAAUAUAAAAUCGAAUAUCUUAAUUUGUAUUUGUUUUUAAUAAUUUAUUUUUUAAUAUUUAUUAGCACUUAUAAUUUUUAAUUUAUUUUAUUAAAUAUAUACAUCAAAUUUUAAAUUUACAAAUAAAUUUUUUUUAUAACUAAAAAAUAUAUUAUCAAUCCUUGUACAAAUUUUUUUAUAUAUAAAUUUUUUAGUAUAGCAUGUAGGAGCUCGGGUAGUAUUUCAUAAAGCACCGGCCACUAAUAUUUUUUUAUUAUCAUAAAGACAGUGUAUACAUACUGUAUCGGAUCGGUUGCACAAUCAUUAUAGUCUCCUACCACCUUAAAGUCAACCUGUUAAACUACUUGUUGUUCUCCCACAAACUCAGACACACUAACUUCAGUGCUAGCCAUGUCAUCAACAGUGACGUCUGAUAACGACAAGAAAUAAGCAUCUGGGGUGGUCUUUAUCAGUUUGGUUAGCAUUGCUCAUCUUGUUCUUACCUGUAAAGGAGAGCGCUGAGAGAAUCAACAGAAGGUGAGCUCCUGGAGAGAUGAGAAUUUCAAGGUCCAACAUUAAGAAUUGUUUCUUGGUAUUUUGUGCAAGCCUUCUGGUUGCAAGAAGCUGCCAUGGUUCUAAGCAUGUUGCCUUAUUUAUCUUUGGAGAUUCAUUAUAUGAUGCUGGAAACAAUAAGUACAUCGAAGAUGCUCCUAUCUUUUCAGAUUUCUGGCCAUAUGGAGAAACCUUCUUUAAGCAUCCCACAGGAAGGCCUUGUGAUGGUCGAUUAAUUCCAGAUUUUAUUGGUAAGUUCAUUACAGUUAAGAGCACCUUAAUUCAUUCUUUUUUGUUCUUUCUUUUCUUAUUUUUAUGAAAUGUUUUGUGACAGCUCAAUAUGCAAAUCUACCUUUAAUUCCGCCAUAUCUACAACCUGGUGACCAUCAAUUUAUGGAUGGAGAAAACUUUGAGUCAAAAGGGGAUCUUGUUCUCGCUGAAAAUCUCCAAGGAAUGGUAUGUCUGUCAUCAUGUUGUUUUUUUCUUGGUGGGGUCUUCAAUGUUAUUGAUCCCCACCACUUUUCGUCUUUUUAUAAAUUAAUUAAACUCGAGAUCUCUCUUAAAUCUUCUAAAGGAAUAAUGAGAUUCAAUGAUUUUUUUCAAGGUGAUAAGCUCUGAAAUACAACAACAUCUACAAUCCAGUAGUCAUCGAUUUAUAAAUGGAGUGAACUUUGCAUCAUCUGGAGCUGGUGCUCUUGUUGAAACUCAUCAUGGAUGGGUAUGUCAAGGAUACAAAGUUUACUGUCUUAGAUAUGUUCCAUAACUUUUGUUUUUGGUUUUUCAUUUUUUCCCAUUUCUUGGAAGGUGAUAAACCUUAGCACUCAACUAAGCUAUUUCAAGCAUAUGAAAAGGCAGUUAAGGCUUCAACUAGGUGAAGCAGAAGCUAAAAAAUUGCUGUCCACAGCGGUUUACAUUUUCAGCAUUGGAGGCAAUGACUACUUUGCAGCUCUAACACCAACGCACAGUUUGCUUCAAUUCUAUUCAAGAGAAGAGUAUGUUGGGAUGGUUAUUGGAAAUAUAACAACAGUGAUCCAAGUAAUUUAGCAUGCUAAAGAACCAUUCUUUCUCUUCUUUCCAAGUUGAUCAUGGAUUAUGAUUGCGUAAUUUUACUGUUCCAGGAAAUAUACAAGAUAGGAGGGAGGAAAUUUGGAUUGUCAACGUUGAUCGCUUUGGGUUGUCUACCAUCCUUGAGAGCAGCUAAACAGGAAAGAACAGGUGUGUCAGGCUGCUUGGAUGAAGCUACAAUGUUUGCAAAGCUACACAACAGAGCACUCCCUAAAGCACUCAAAGAGCUUGAGGGACAACUAGAAGGAUUUAGAUACUCAAUUUUUGAUGCCUACGUUGCUGGAAGGGAGAGAAUUAAUAACCCUUCAAAAUAUGGUAAUUCCUGUCUAUAAGCAUUAAAUAAUUAAAAAUCAAGGUCCCUAUAUAGAUUUCCUAUCCUUGUUAUGAAUUUAAAUGUGAUUUCUCCAUAUAUAUAUGAAGGUUUCAAGGAGGUUCAAGAGGCAUGUUGUGGCAGUGGUCCUUACAGAAGCCUCCGUACUUGUGGUCAGAAAGGAUAUCAAUUAUGCGACAAUGCAAGUGAAUAUUUCUUCUUUGAUGCGGCUCAUCCAACUGAGAGUGCCAACAAUCAAUUUGCGAAGCUAAUGUGGAGUGGAAGUCUUGACAUCGUGAAGCCUUACAAUCUUAAAACACUGUUUGAGGAAUAGCCGAAAAUAGAGUUUAUUUUUAACGAAAUGCUACGUUCGUUUUCCUGCUGAUCUAUCAAUUUGCCUUUUGAUUUAUGGAAAAGUCCAACUUGCUUUGGCCUUGUGUUUUUCUGGGACCUCUUUCACGGUUGUAGACCAUGCAUGGCCAAAAUUUCUAAAUAAAAAAUUUAAAAUUCCGAUGAAUUUCAUGGUAUUGUGUGAGUAAUAUAUUAUUACUUUAUUUUAAUAAUUGAAAUAUCAAAAUGAAGAAAGAGAGAAAAUCAUGUGGGAAAUACCUUGUUUUCCACCUCUUGCAAAAAACCUUCAUUGCUGAAACAAACAUGUUUCUAAUUUUAAUUUGUUCAUUUAAAAUUCUCAAGAAAACUUCAAGAACUUUCAAAUUAAAAGAUAUAUAUAGCUAGAUACCGUUUAGUUAUUGUUUUAAAAUAAAAACAAUAAAAACAAUAAAAACAUGUUUUUCUAUACUUUUUAUAAAAACAAAAUACAAAAAUUUACUCCAAAACUAAUUUCCUGAUAAACAACUCUUUGAUCAGUUAAAAUCAAACUUUAAUUGAAUAAUUAAUCAACUCGUUCACCAUGUGCACACAUAAAAAUAUAUAUUAAUUUCAGCUUCCAUCAUCCAGCAACCACGAAGUAACCUCCCUCCCUCCCUCAUUUUUUAUGCUUUAUUUCGACAACAAACAUAAAAAAAAAAUAUUCUGACAAUAUUAUUGAUUUUAUAUUUAAACUAUUUUUUAUCAAUUUUAUUCCUAAAUUAUUUUGAUUUCUCAAUCAUAACUUACAUAACGGAAACUGUUUAAUUCUUUAUAAAAUAAUGUUGUUUUUAUAAGAAAAAUAUGCAAUUUUGAUGAAAAUACGAAUGAAAAUUGAGUGUGAAACUGGAAAAACAAAUGCCAAAUAUAAAAUGCUAGAUAAAUAUUGGAAGAAAACUUAAAAUAAAUGUGGCUAGAUGACAAAUUUUCAAAUCUUAGAGGAUCAAUUAAAAUCAAACCUUAAUUGAAUAAUUAAUCAACUCGUUCACCACGUACACGCAUAAAAAAAUAUUUCAGCUUCCAUCACCCAGAAACCUCCCUCCCUCCCUCAUUUUUUAUGGUUUAAUUCUAUAAUAAACUUCAAGCUAUUAGGACAAUAUUGAAUUUAUAUUUAAACUAUUUUUAUAUCAAUUUCAUUCCUAAACUAUUUUAAUUAUAAUCAUUCCUAAAUUAGAGUCAUCAGAUCAUAUGUUGCUACAAUGCAAUUUUUCUAUGGAUAAAAUUUAUUUUAUGGUGUUGGUGGGGUGUCUUUUGGAGUGUUCCUGUAGAAAUUUGAAGCAGAGUAAUGAAGAGACGUGAGACAGUUCAGUUGCGAAACAGAGUUAUUCAUUCAUACCUCUUUCUUAUGCUGUACAUGUUAUAUAUAGAGUGGGAAAAACUUGCAGCAAGGAAAGACAAUCUUGCGUAUAUUUUCUCCCAUGAUUAUUGCUAAGAUUGUAUGCUAAUAAUAAAUACACAAUCACAUCUAAACUAGAUAAUAAAUAAGUAAUACUUGAUGAGUUGUUGCAAAUAGUUAGGUUUCAGAGAAAGACAUGGCAACUCCUCCUUUAUGGGUAUUGCUUGGAGUAUCCGGUUAACCGGAAAUAAUUUGGUUUUCAAUGAUAUACAACGAAAUAUGAAGUCAUGCUUCUCUUUAACCCUCCACUGGCUGUCCGCAUGGUUACAAAAUUAAUGUGAAGAGCAUUUCAAUCGCUGCAUUCACCAAGUUGAAUGAUUCUCAUUUUUUCCUUUGUAUUGGUAGAAGGCAUCUAUAGACGAAGGCAACCAUUUCUCUCCAUGGAUGCUAUAUACUUCAUCCAACCAACAAAAUAGAAGUAAUAUAUUUUUCUCUGCAGACAUGUACAGACAAAGUUCUUCUCUGCAUGGAGACCUGUGAACCCUGACUUUUUUUUUUUAUAUAAUUAAUGUGGGUGUUCGGGUUAGCUUACGUAUACUUUGAUUAAUUCUAUCCCAUGAGCCUUGAAGUUAAUGAUGAUAUAAGCCUUCAAUAAUCUUAAGAAAAUUCGAAUUCAUAAUCAUUAAAUAGUAAACUUAAAAUUUAACUAGUUGAGUUACCCCUCAAGAUUUCUGAUACCUUAACUCUUGUUUACACACAAUGCCGGCGGUGCUAGUUAGGGGUGAUCAUUUUCGGUUCGGUUCGGUUUUUAUCAAAAAAAAAGUAACCAAACCAAAUUUUUUUUUAAAAAAAACCGAAACUGAACCGAAAUCGAUUCAAACCGACCGGUUUCAGUUUGGUUUUUUAGGAUAAAAACUGGUUUGGCUCCGUUUUCUCAGUUUUGGCUCGGUUUUUUUCCGGUUUUGGCUCUGUUUUUUUGGUUUGGCUCGGUUUUUUCGGUUUGGGUCUGGUUCGGUUCGGUUUUUUUUUGUUUUAGGCUUAUAAAACCGAAACCGAACCGGCCAGUUUUUUUAAAAUUUUAAUCGGUUUUUUUUUACGGUUCGGUUUUUUUAUUAUUUUCUUGAUUUUCAGUUUUUUUCUCACUCUAUCGAUGUUUUUUUUUACAAUAAAGAAGGCUGGUGUUCUUACUAUUAGUUUUUUUUUUAUUAUUAUUAUUAUAAAUUAAAGAUCAUUAAUGGAAUCUGCUAUGGAAAGAAUAUUCCGUUAGCAAUUCUAAUUUUUUAGAUUUUUUUAUUCCGACAGCAAUUUUUAAUGCUAGCAAAAUAUUCCAUUGCUAUUUUUAUAGGUAUUAGAAAUCAUUAACGGGAUAAAACAAUUUUAUGAGCAACUUUUUAAAGAUAAUAUUUCAUUAGUAAUUCCAUUGAUAUUUUCUGCUAGUGUUUAAAAAUUAAUAAUUUCUAAUAAUAACAAAAUUCUCUCUAAAUACUGAUAGAAUACUCUUUUAGCAUUCCUUAAUUUUCUGCUAGUGUUUAACGUAAAUAACUUCCUUUUGUUUUUCAAUUAAACAAAUUAUCAUACUUUAAAUUGCAUACUGAUAUAUUUUUUUUCUUGCUUUAAAAAUUAACUUAAAAACUUACAUGUAGUAUAACAAGAGUUAUUGCACCAAUGAGAACUAAAUACCAUUAUCUUGUAAAAAAAAAGAAGAAGAAGGUUGCAGUUGAGAAAUAAUUUAUUUCCAUUUUAAUUUUGUAUUUUUGGACAAUUGUGUUUAGGUUUUUUUGGGCUAAUAAUUUAUUAUUAUUUAAAAUUUUUAAGGAUGUUUAUUAAAUUAUUUUUUUGAUGAAAAUAAUGAAAAUAAAUUUUUAGAUAAAAAUAACAUCCUCUCAAUUUUUAGUCACUUUUACUAGAAUUUAGAUGUGGAAGUUACACGUCAUUUGUUUCUUAAAAAAAAUUAGAAAGAUAACAAAUUUGAAAAAAUAAUAAAAAAAAGCCUUGAGAUGCAGUGGCAUAGGCUAGCAGACCCGCAUGCUUAGAUUUAUUUUUAAAGGUUCCAUCUUGCUAAGCCACCUAGUCCUGUGUGCCUUGCUUUUUUAAAAAAAAAAUUCCAAUAAUUUUAGUGUGAUUUCUUAAAUUUUAAUUAAUCAAAUAUUUAUUAGGUAUAUUAUUUUAUUAGAUUCUUAAAGUGAUUAAGUAUAUAUUUAGAUAUUAUUUUAGUUAAAGUCGAUCAUUUUUUACCAUGUUUUAGAAUAAAAUUAUUUUUUUAUUAUUAGCAAGUAUUCUGCAUGGACGAGAGAGAGCCAGCGACCUUUUGGGCUUCAUUGAAGCCCGAGGUUAAUCAGAAGAUGAAUUCAACUCCUUUCCAGGCUGCUAUAGAGAAUUUCUAUAUGACUGAUUCUAUUACCAGGGCAUCAAAGAUAAUGGCUCAAUGCAGUUCACUGCUGCUAAAGAAGUGAGUUCUUGAUUUGUUUUAUCUUUCCAAAAAACUUGCAAAUUCACUUUUAUUUGUAUAAUCAUUCAAGCCGUGCAAGGCCUUGUUUGGCAAAGGGGCAAGCUUGUGGAGCUUUGGAAGUACAUCCAAUAAGGUUACUUUUGGAUUCUGUUUAUUUCACUGUAACAUGUCCAAUGUAAUAGCAUUUCCCUGUAACCUUUUUGUGUGUAAGACACUGGACUUCCCAGGUUUUUUUUGGCUCAAUCUUAUAAGAUGCUCCAGUUUGCGGCAGCAUCUGCUUUUGUUCACCAAUUCUAUUUAAUAAAGAAACAUCCUCGUGGAGUGACGUUAUCUUUUUAGUUAAUUCUUAUCCAUGGUGGGCUAGUGUGUUAAUUAAAAAAGCAGGUUGUCUCCUCAUUACUUGAUAAGCUCUUUGUUCACAACUGUUGAAAACCAUAUUCAGGGAGUUUCCUUUUAGCAAGUUUCAAGUAGCUCACUGUUUGGUCUCUAACCCUCCACGAGUGCAUUUUGCCAUCUCCAUUGCAAGCUUCUGUAGCUUCUUACCCUUUAAGCAUCUUGCCAUGAUCUCAACCCAUUUGCUAUGCGGUAUGGACUCCAAUUUGUCCCAGUUUAGCAAACUGUAAGGUGCUACUUUGGCAGUUAGGGACAAUCUAGCUAUUAAGAAGGAAUGCCUACCUCCUUCAUGCAUUGCAAGAUUCAUUGGAUUUUACAUCAAAUUAAAAAGGGCUGUUGUGUAGCAGACUUGGUAUUUGAAGAUAUUUGAAAACAACAAUAAAGAAAACAAUUGGAGAUAUUUGAAGCACGUUGUGUUGCACAUUGAUCAUGGAAACAUCUCAUAAAACUAGAGUAAUUAUUUAUUUUGCUCCUUAAAUUCAUCUAAAAUUGAUGGUGUUGCUCAUAGACGAUCAGAAGCAUUAUUUCUACAAGUUCCAUGGCCAGUAAUAUCAGUUUCCCGUGACUCUGUCAAGUUCAUGAGCAGAAUUGGUAUCGUCUUGAGAAGCAGAAUCAGCAUUUCCACAACAAAUUUUCAUAAUAUUAUUACAGCAUCUACUAAAUUGAAGCGUGCUAAAAGUGGCUCCAUGACUAACACCAGUUGUUGCAGCAACAACUGGUGUUUGUCAAACUGAUUGGAUGAUGGGGGUUGGACAUGAGGUUAGAAAGAUUUUCCAUGAUGUUACCAGCACUGUUUACCUAUAAAAUCUAAAAGGAGGAGCCAUUGGCAUCUGUUAAGGCAUUUUUUAUUGUUUCUUGUAAAUCAGGGAGAAUCAAGCUCAAGACUUGUUGAUUAGUCUAGUUCUAAUCACUGUCUUUUAAGUGCAUUGAUUAAUUAAAAAUGCAAGUCAAUCUUGUUUUUUUUUCAUAGAGCAUUUACCUGAUCUUUAUGUUUUCAUCUCAUAAUUGAAGGUUUAAUCAAGGUUAUGCAUGCUGAUGUUAAAGCCAGAUUAGCAGGGGUGAUUAUGCAUAACAGAGAGGAUCCUGUAAUUCCAAUAGGUGCCAGCAAAUGGUCAUCAGUUGACCACUCACCAUCCAAAGUCUAGUACCAUAAUAUCUUUGAAUUGUCAUCCCCUCCUUUGGCCACUUCUAUGUCAUCCUCUGACGCUAAACCAAGGAAGCCUGCACUUUUGCUGAUUAGUAACAUCAAUUCUGGAAACAGAACAUCUUGUUCUCACCAGUAUUUCAUCAGUGAGAAAACGAGAAUUACAUCAUCAGUAUAAUUUCCUACUCCAUUCCUUUCCUUCUAUGGCUAUGGAUCGAUGGCAUUACUAUCAUUUCCUUUGAUAAUGAAAACCAAAAAGGAUUUUCAGAAAGGAGAAUCUGAUUAAAGAUUGGUUCCUGCAAAGAACUUUCAGAAUGCCCUGAAGUGGCUUCUGGAGGAAUGUCUGGCAGAUGAUUACUUGCUGUUCUACUUCUCAGGACAUGCAUUCAGAGUUCUAGCAACCUGAUUUCAAUGUCGAUGCCUCAACUAGGAAAAUCAGAAUUCAGAGUUCUAGCUAAAUGUUAUCAAGAACACACCAGAAGAUCCUCAAAAUGAAGAUAUUUAUGAUUUAUAAAAUAAGACAAACAAAGAUCGUAUGAAGUAGAAUUGCAAGUACAAGGUAAUGGUAACUAAAGGUUCAUGUGGUCUCGCUCUUGUAAUUUACAAGGCUAAGUAAAGAAAGAAAAGGCAUGAACAACAAUUUCACCAAAAGAAAAUACGCGGGGAAGGAAAUUAAGAUGAAAUCUUUAUACCCAUAAAUGCAAUGCCAAAAAGUCCAAUUGCUGUAAUCUAUUACAAUCCCCAAUGUCCCCGUCAUUCCAAUGUUGAUGAGUCCAAUCCAUCCUUUUUUCAGUUGAUUUCAAUGUCAGGGAUGUGAGCUAUCUUAGGCCAGUCCUUUCCUCUCUCUUUCUCACACCUUUUCUCCAAAUUUGGACAAUCGUAGAUCACUAGAGAUAGGAGAGAAGUGAGAUGUUGGAUACUAUCUGGCAAUGAAUUCAGCUCGGGACAUCGAUAAAGCCCCAAAUACUCAAGUGCUGUCAGAUGUCGCACUCCCUCAGUUAGCGAUGCAAAUUGAUUACAACCUUGAAUCAAAAAGCGACGAAGAGAAGAUAAGCCACACAGCCCAUUCAUUGGCAAAGAAUUUAAUCUUCC
rnacentral:lncRNA from 1 species